rnacentral:lncRNA from 10 species
CUACACCACACACACACACGCACGCACGCACACACACGCACGCACGCGCACACACACACGCGCACACACACGCACACGCCCGCGCACACACUCUCUCACACACACACAGAGAUUGGAGAGAGACAGGAGAGAGACAUGUUUUCAUCUAUCCUUUGUGGACUUCUGUUGUUUUUACUGCUGUGAAAUUUGACUUGCGAUAUCUGCUUAAAGCAAUGAAGAGAAAAGCUGAAGUCAGUGAUUAGGAGUGUCUGUGUAAGUAAAAGCAACAGGCAAUUACUGAGUGUGGUGUGAGAGGCACGGAAAGAUUGGGAAUUCAGCAAGAAGAGGAAUUGAAGUCAAACCUCACCUACUUCCCAGAGUCUUCUGGAUUUUCUGUUAGAAGCUUCAGUAUCUGAGAAAUCCAGAACAGGAUAAAUCAAAUCACCGGUUCAGUGUGCUAAAUUAGCAUAUUCAGCUCUUGAAGAAUUUAUGGAAAACGGCUUUCAAAAUGAAAGGACUCAGGCAACAAAUAAACAGCUAAGAUUUUACUAGAGUAUGAAAGGGAGAGCACUGGAGUGCAGUGCGGGGAUGGAGAUGCAGCUGUGGUGGCUGGAAGUACAGGAGGGCAGCUGGAGGCACCUGGCCUCUGAAGCCUGUCUUCUUCAUCUGGGUGAGAUCUGCUGGAGUCAGGAAGGACUUCCUGCUGCAAGGAUAAAGGUAAGCAGAAGAUCUCCACCAGUGCCCACUGCCAUCACAAACACCUACAAUCCUUAUAGCAGGUGAAUCCAGCAGUCCUCACAAGUCCUGAGACAGGUUUGGAGUCUUGCUGGGAAUUCACACAGCUGCAUUGUCCUAGAUUAGGAGAACAAGGUGUGGACCCCCAACCCUCUAUUCAUCCCCUGUGAGCCAUGGUGCUAUAGCAUGGCACCAUACUGAGACCAGAGCUACUUCUGCAGUGUGCCCUGCUCUGAGGGCCAGUAGCCACUUCACCUCUCCAGCACUUGGGCUCCAUCUUCAUUCCACCAAGCCCAUAUGGGAAGCUGAACACCUCAAUCCCAGAUUCGUAAAGCAUGGGCCAAGGAUGGGCUGUGGCUCUGGUCCUGUUCUGUUCAGGGUGAACCUGCCCUUGAGCUGGCCAAACUGCUGCAUACCCUCCCCAAAGCAGGAGAGGCCCCCAAGCCUGUGAGCAGCUGAUAUGCUCCAGGGCCAGUGAAGUGGCUAUGUGCUUGCACCCAGGAACUGAGAAACAGUCCCACAGCACACCUGCACCCUCCAGAGAGAGCCCUGGCCUGCCCCAGUGGCCCUGUAUCCCCAUUCAGGGCCUGAGAAACAAUUCCUCAGGCCACUCUUGGCAGGUAUGAUACUAAGCUGACCAAAUAGCCAAAAACACCUAUCCCAGACCUGAGUAUCAGCCCUGUGGGCCAAUCCAGGUGGACAUGCCCCAGGCUGGCCAAGCAGCCAUGUACCCACAUUCCGGGCCUGAGAAACAGUUUUUUGGGCUGCUGUUGGUGAGGACACCCCUGAGCCAACCAAGCAUCCUUGCAAUUGUGUUUCAGACCUAAGAAGCAUCAUGACCUGAGAAACAGUUUCACAGGCCACUCUUGGCAGGUAUGAUCCCAGGCUGGCCAUACAGCCAAAAGCCCACAUCCUACAUCUGAGUAACAGCCCAGGCUGACAUGACCCCAGGGCAGACAUGACCCCAGGCUGGCUGCCUAUUGAGUAAUUUCUUACGUUUUGCCUCCUCACAAAUGAAAUGCUAUCAUUUGUGAAAAUAUAAAUAGAAUUGGAGGAUAUUAUGUUAAGUGAAAUAAACCAUGAACAGAAAGUUAAACACUACAUGUUCUCAUUCAUAUUUGGAAGGUAAGAAAACGUUGAACUCAUAGAAGUAAAAUAGAACAGAGGAUACCUGAUGCUGGGAAAACUUGGGGGAAGGGAAGGAUAGGAAGGGAUUUGUUAAAGAAUAUAAAAGUUAAACUGGAUGAAAGGAAGUUCUUGUGUUCUCUACCACUGUAGGAUGACUAUAGUUAACAAUAAUAUAUCAUGUAGUUUAAAUAGCUAGAAGGAGGAUAUUGAAUGUUCCUAAUACAAAGAAAUGAUAAAAAUUUGAGAUGAUGGAUAUGCUAAUUAUGCUGAUCUGAUCACUGUCUAUUUAUCAACACCUCAUUAUAUAUCCUAAGAAUAUGUACAAUAACUAUUUGUCAAUCUAAAAAAUUAGAUAAAAAUUGUUUUGUCUUUUCUGGGUACUUUACAUGUUCAUAUAUAUUUUUGAGUCAGCUUGUCAAUUUCUACAACAAAAGCUUGUUGGGAUUUUGAUUGAGAUUAUGCUGAAUUUAUAACUUGUGAAGAAUUGAUUUCUUUACAAUAUUGGACCUUCCAAUACAUGAACAUAGUAUAUGUCUCCAUUUGUUUAGGUGUUCUUUAAUUUUUUUAAACAAUGUUUUGAAAUUUCCAGGAUUUUUCACUGAUUUAGUUAAAUUGAUCCUUAAAUAUUUAGCUUUUGAUGCUGUUAUUUUUAUUGAAAAUUUCUAAUUGUUACAUUCUAAUACAUGAAAACAGUAUAUAUCGUGAA